rnacentral:rRNA from 1 species
GACGUAGGAGGCGAGCGUUAUCCGGAUUCACUGGGCGUAAAGCGCAUGUAGGCGGUUCGAUAAGUCCGCUGUUAAAGCCCCCGGCUCAACUGGGGGAGGUCAGUGGAGACUAUAGGACUUGAGGGCAACAGAGGCACGUGGAACUCCCGGUGUAGCGGUGGAAUGCGUAGAGAUCGGGAAGAACACCAGUGGCGAAGGCGACGUGCUGGGUUGCGACUGACGCUGAGAUGCGAAAGCGUGGGGAGCAAACGGG